GCUAAGGCGAUCGUGAAAUCCCCGGGCUCAACCCGGGAACUGCGAGCGAUACUGGUUGGCUCGAAUCCGGGAGAGGGAUGCGGAAUUCCAGGUGUAGCGGUGAAAUGCGUAGAUAUCUGGAGGAACACCGGUGGCGAAGGCGGCAUCCUGGACCGGCAUUGACGCUGAGGCGCGAAAGCCAGGGGAGCAAACGG
rnacentral:rRNA from 1 species